GGGCGCGGAGGGGGCGGGGGCCGCGGCUCGUCCCCCAGCGGAUGAGCUGCCGCGGACGGGGCGCGGGCGGACGAUGGAACUCCACAUCCUGGAGCACCGGCUGCAAGUUGCCAGCGUCGCCAAGGAGAGUAUCCCGCUGUUCACCUACGGGCCUGAUCAAACUUGCCUUCCUGUUCUCCAAGACCAGGUGCAAGUUCUUCAGUCUGACUGAGACACCAGAGGAUUACACUAUCAUUGUCGAUGAGGAAGGAUUCCUAGAGCUGCCCUCCUCGGAGCACCUGAGUGUGGCGGAUGCCACCUGGCUGGCCCUGAACGUGGUGUCCGGCGGUGGCAGCUUCUCCAGCUCCCAGCCUAUUGGCAUGACCAAGAUCGCCAAGUCAGUCAUCGCCCCACUGGCUGACCAGAACAUAUCCGUGUUCAUGCUGUCCACGUAUCAGACAGACUUCAUCCUGGUGCUCAAGCGGGACCUGCCCUUUGUCACCCACACGUUGUCAUCAGAGUUCACCAUCCUGUGGUCAGUGGCUAGACUGUAGCAGCCGAGAACCUCGGCAUCACCAGUGGCUUCGUGAAGCCCAAGCUGGGUGAGCUGGGGGCGGGGGUUUGUGCGGGGAAACCUCACGAAGUUACCAGGCCAAGCCGUAGACCAGCCUUGCUCUCAGCACGGGCUUCUGCCCACUGAGCAUGAAUGGAGUGCCAGGCAGAACGGGAUGCAAAGGGCAAGGUGUGGUGGCUCAUGCUUGUAAACCCAGCACUUUGGGAGGCCGAGGCAGGCAAUUCACCUGAGGUCAGGAGUUUGAGACAAGCCUGACCAACAUGGAGAAACCUGGUCUCUACUAAAAAUACAAAAUUAGCUGGG
rnacentral:lncRNA from 1 species